UUUUUAGAAUAUUAUGCAUAAAAAAGUCAUUGCAAUAAAUCUCAAGUUAUUAAAGUCAGUGAACAAAUAAGUACUGACGAUUCGUUGACUGGAGUGGAAGAUGUUAGUGUCUUGAACCAACAUGAAACAACAAGUUAACUUAGCUGAGAAUGAUGGUAGUUUAAAAAUAAUGCAGCAUUGGCUAGGAUUGUUCCUAGGUCACAAAAACAAUCUUACAAAUAGAGUUUCUGCUGUUGUCACUGGUUUUAGAGAGUACCUUUGUGAAUGAAGAUAAAAAGUCAUUUAUGUUAUUUUUU
rnacentral:lncRNA from 1 species